GCAGGAGAUCUGGGGCUGUAGCAGCAAGGAGGCCAGUGAUCAGGGCAUGUUAGAGCUGUGGUUGGUUGCUAAAUAAGGAACAUGGCUCAUUGGGCAUGGUGAUGGUGGGUUGAUAGUUGUACUAGAUGAUCUUAGUGGUCUUUUCCAACUUUAAUGAUUCUGUGAUUCUUUGAUUCUAUGACUUCUGCCCCCGAAUCUUCCCAGCAGUCCGCAUGUCCCAGGCUCUGAGCACAAUCUGAUGGCUCCAUGCAGGAGCUUUUCUACACAGAGUUCAUUUUGGCUGAAACACGAUACACGAAGGCAGAGCAGCAGGAAAGCAGUGCUGAAGGAGAAUUGGUUGACAAGGAGAAGUAUGUGGAGGCAGAUGAGGAGCACUUGGGACUUUGGAUGAAAAGUAGUUCAUCCCUUCUCAGCCCAUUAAUAAGUUAAUAACUUAUCAGAGAUUAACUUAACACCUUGAGGCACAGAAGACAUUGCCUUGUUCUCACAUUAGCCUGGCUCUAUUGUAAUUCCUUUAUCUUACCUUUUUUUUCCCCCCUCAGCUAUUGCAUACUCAUCUGGGGCCACACUAAUAUAACAGCAUAAGAUUCAAUUACAAAAGACUACAAUAAGAGUGCAAAAUUCUCUUCCUGACAUGCUGAAUCACUGCUCAGAAGCAUUAAUUAUUGAGUGGCUAGCAGAUUUUUUUUUUUUUUUCAAGUUGCAGUAGAAAGAAGAAUGAACCCUACGGCACCUCCUGUACAGGGAGCAGCUCCUGCGUAGGACGUCUGUGGCUUUGUGAUUCUUGAGAGGCAUCUGUGCAGAUCCGGUCCUUGGUCCUCAGUAACAACACAGGAUCCCAUACAGCAAGGAUGAGGCAAGAGAUGACAGCUCACCACACAAGACCAAUCUGGGUGACAAAGCAGAGUCCUCUCUUUGCUUAUCCCCUGCCUUCCUGUGCAGCAGGACUGCCAGAAAUCACAGCGGUGCAAUACUCGGCAGGAUGACAAGGAACCAGCAGUCCAGAAGAGAAGCAGCCCUGACAAUUCCUCUGUUCCUGCUGCUCAGUGAAAUGGUUGCGUGUGGGAUGCGAUCAGCGCUCUGCAGCUGCUCCUACAUUAGUGUGCAUCGGAGGCACUCGAUGGGUGCCAUUUGACCAUCGCUUCUGCGCAAUACCUUGUAAAAGCAGCAGCUUUUCUGGGAUUACCUCCCCAUUGCAUUGCUUCUCGUGCCUGCAGCUCACCGAUGUGUUUCAGUCUGCGGUCACUGCAAAGCCUGCGUAGCGCAGUGGUGCUUUGGAGACUCUUGUUUGCAAACCAAUCAGUUAAAUUAAGAAGCUUGAUUCUCAGUGCUGUGUGAUGACAUCUCCAAUUUAGCUGGUGCCCCAGUGAGGAAGUAAACAAACAAUAAAAGUGUCACUAUUCCUUCUAGUUCCAUUAGACAAACAAGAAGUUUAUUCAGCGUUUUGGCAAAUGAAAAUUUAAGCAAACUGUCAAGGGAGACAUUUUCCACAUCAAAUGUUUUCUGAGAGGGGAUUAUAACAAGAAAGAGCUAUCACCCACCAUGUCAUUAUAAACAAAGGCUCCUGUGAACCCCUUUUAUUAAAGAUUAGCAGCACUGAUUACAGACAUGCCAGGCUGAGCCAAAGGCAAAUUAGAAUAUCUUUUGCCAUGGGAUAACUUAUGCUACCUUCUUGUGCACUGAGAUGAUUGCAAACUCCCGAGAGCAGAAAACCUUCACCUACAGCCAUCCAUUCUCUCCUGUUUAGAAGCAGCCUGGCGAUCUGUCUAGACUUAUUUGCUGCCAGAGACCAACACUUCAUUCCACCUCCUGCCGUACAGUUCCAGGUGAGAUCAGUCAGUCAUGCAAUUGGGAAUCCCAGAUUUUGGGCAUUUCUCAUGGAUAACCCUUAAGGCUACUUCAGAAAGCGUUUCCAAGCCAAGCGUUAAUGAGCUCUGUUCCAGUGGGGACAGACUGGGAAGCUAAUGUGAUGCUUAGCAAGCCAUGUAAAUUCAGCCUUUAGUUCCAUGUGGUAUCCAUGGGCUUGGUGCAGACUUGGAGACCCAAGAGACUGGUUGCAAAGGCUGGUAAACAUCCAAUUCCUACUCUUGCCUGUAAUUCUUAUGGCCCCCUUGCAGUCCUGCUGGAUUACUCUCCAACCCAUGCUCAUCUCAUCUGCUGACUCCUCCUGCCUCAGAGCCCAUCAGACCUCCAGCUUCAGACCUGUGUGCAUUCUUACAACAGGCGGACGCUGCUGAGUUGGCCUCCAGGCCCCUGGACACAUCCUGACCCCAGGACACUGCACUAACAGAACCUGUCUGCCAAAAGAAGAAACUUAGCUGUCUCCCAUUUCUGUCUGUGGUCUGUCUCCUUGAAGACCAUGAGGUACUUCACACAUUCCUCAGCUUUUGCCUGCUAUUUGUGAAUUAAUGGGGUGAAGCGAUUUCCCUGAACUUAUCAGAAAAUCUAUGUAAGACAGAGAAGAGGAAUGGGAUCUGGUCCAUCAGGUUUACAGGUAUGGGGUCUUGGCUCACUGGGACACUUCUCAUGGUCGGGCACUGGGACAGGCUGCCCAGGGGGGUGUGGGAGUUUCCAUCCCUGGAGUUGUUCAAGAAAUAUGGAGAUGUGGUAUGUAAAGGCAUGGUUUAGUAGGAAAUAUUGGUAGUCACUGUAUGGUUGGACUGGAUAAUCUUAGAGGUCUUUUCCAUGAUUCUAUGAUUCUAUGAAUUCAGGUGCUGACCGGAACAAACAAGUGGUCCAGACCCUGAAUGCUUUAAUAUCCAUCUCUUAAGAAAGAGAUCUUCUCCCCACUAUCCCAUGAAGGCAUUGAUCAUUGCUCAGAAAUUCAGCCUUUCAUCCUGAUCAGAGCCCUCUCCAGCAUCACCUUCACAGCGAAAAAGACACAAACCCAACGGCUCAACACUUGCAAGGCAGAGCAGUGCUGCAGCCCCGUGUGCCCUUCGACUCACUCCCUUUCCCUCGGCCAGGCCUCAAGCAGAGCAGUGAUUGAAGAGAGGUGGAGCCCCAUGACUGAUUCCCCUGAGAACAUAACUCUGGUUUCUCUGACACCCUGAACAAGAGCGAGAUGUCAGGAUCCUUCCUUAGGGCUGCUGCAUGAGAGGGAUGGACCGGUGACACUGAUGCUACAUCACCUCUUCUGAGCACAGGAGCUGAGUUCCACGUUUGGCAGCUCCAGGAUGAACCGGUGGCGUUUCCUUGACUCCAGUGGCGAUCGAUUCCAUUUGGAGCCUGUAGCAACUGACGUCCAGGGGAGCCCAAGUCCCACCCAUCACAUGGCAACAGGAAGCUUUGCGUGAUGCCUGGUGGCACAUCCCUCCAAAAGGAAGUGGGAAGAUUAAAGAAAGACGUUGAGGCCCUGGAAUCUGCCCAGAGAGGGGCAACGAAGCUGUGAACGGGCUGGAGCACAAGUCUUAUGGAGAGAGGCAGAGGGAACUGGUGUUCUUCAGUCUGGAGAAGAGGCUCAGGGGAGACCUCAUUGCUCUCUACAAUGCCCUGAAAGGAGGCUGUGGUGAGAGUGUUCAAUUCUUUCCCCGUCUCCCCCACCAGCCCCAGCCCACGAGCGAGCAGCUCCCGAAAAUGCUGAGGAAAUGGAGCUGAAAGCCUGGGGCAAUGGGGCAGAGAAGGUGAAUCUAAAGAGAUGCAGAAAUGAACCAGACAGGGCCGGGAAAUGUACGGAGAACCCACCCUAGCCUGUAUGUGAGGGAGUGCAUACCACAGCGUAUGAGAUCAACAGCCCCUUUCCGCAGUCUCAGUAGUGCUGAGUCCCAGAAGAGGGUUACAGAUUUACAAGGAAUUCAGAUUUUUACAUUCAGGAUGAAAUCAGCAAAUUUUAGAGCUUGCCGAGAUUGAAGCGACGGUGUUGAGCGAUGCAGCCCCGAGCACGCGGAGCCCAGCACCGCUUUGCUCCCAGUAAUGAGUCCCCCCGGGGGUCACAGCCCCCACUGCAUGGGGCUGCCCAAAGCCCUUUGCCCUGCGAUUCUUCCAGCAAAGACACUGUACAAUCACAGGCAGCUGCACUGAGGAAAAUGUAAAUGCAAUAGAAAACACAGACGUGGAGGAGCAUCUGUUCUCCCCUCCAGGUCAAGCAGUGGUCUUGAAAGAUGAACCGGCAUGGGGAGAGCUCAGAAGGAGCGAGAUGUUUAUAUCCAAAGCCAGAACUGUAUUUCCUAUGGUCCCAUCCGAAAAGCUCCAGCUGCAGACAAAUCUAGGGAGGCAUCAGCUCCUUCUGCAGCAGUGACUGUUGAUACCACCUCACUGAGCUGCCAAUGUCCACCAUGCAAUGUGCCUGCUACAUGAUGCCAGAGAGAAGCACAAUUCAGGGAAGGCUGGCAGGAAGGAGAGAGAAUGUAUAGCAUAGAAGCCUGGAAAGCAGGCCAAGAGGAGGUUAUUCCCAUGAUACAUCUCUGUUCCCCCCUCCCCAUCAUGUCAGCAGCCUCUUCAGCUUCACACAGAGGUUGUGAGGAUUCAUUAGUUAAUGUUUGUAAAGCACUAUAUAGAUGGAGAGAGCUAUGUAAGUGCUAAGUAUUAUUAUUAUUACAGAGAGUCGCUGUUAAGGCAAUGGAUAUGCUCUUAAGUGUCAUUUCAUAUUUAAUUAACGUGCAAUAAUUGUCUUCCAAAACCUGGAGGUACAUCUUUAUUCUUGACACUUCCUUUAAAGAGACACUGCAGCAGAGCUGCUGCUAAUGGGCCUCCUCUCUGGCAUAGGAGGAACAGGAUGAGCUGGGAACUGGAAGAAGAGGAAAGGGAGGUCAAUGAGGGACUUUCUUGUUCACAAUUCCACAAACAUGCCAUGGAUCCAUGGUGAGUUUGGGUUUUGAUCACCGAGCUGCCCCAAGGGAUACUGACCUGGUGAGGGGUCUGCAGCCUUCCCCUUAGACUUUCCCCAUGCCCUGCAUCGACUGAGCAGUGCCUGUGGCUUCUGAGUAACUGAACCCAGCUGUAGCUGUGCACCUUGCCUCUGUGAGUAGAAUAAAAGAACUAAAAAGGGAGGAUGGAGAAGCAUGAAAUCACAGUACUGGGAAUUUCCCUUCUAUUUUUCAGGAACAUGUUUGCCAAGAAGUGGUAUUCUCAGAGCUAGGUUACGUAUCUUUUACUGACAGAGGGAAGCAAGGAGAAAUCAGCUGUGGGGCCAUCUGCUCCUCAAGCAAAUGGGAAGGGGAAGCCACCUCUCCCACCUCCCCACGAUGUUUGCAUUUCCGAGUGAGACCAGAGAAGUAAAAAAAGAAGCAGUCCAUCAUUAACUCAGAAAUAACCCGCCUACAGGAGCUGCAGAAGGAUGCUGGGCCCUUCAUGCCUGUCUUUUUUUUUUUUACCUGAAUGUGUAAUUUCUCACUGGUUCGUUGACAAAUCAGUGCCCUCUAUGGGCCCUUGGCUGGCAUCUCUCUGAGGAGCCCACAGGGUGGGGUUGGGAGGAGCAGGAUGCUCCAAGAGAGCUGCGAUGGUGCCAGUCCCCUUGUCCUCACCAUCUUAAAGAGGCAGCCCCCCUACCAACAUCACUCCCACACACUUGUGUGCCCUUCCUGCCCCUCUCUGAUCACUGAGAUGCUCCUCAUCAGUGCUAAGUGCUCUGAAGGUCACAGGCUACACAGCUCCCAACAUCACUGAGGAUCAGGCUUUGGCCUUGCUGCCACCCCCCUGCUCCCCCCGGGACCCCUGAAGUGACAGAACCUGGCAGCUCGUUCCUCGCUUCCCCCUCCCACCUCCCCCUUCCUUCUCUCACUCUCAUUUAUUUCAAUUUGCUAUGCUUUCUUUCCUGGCUCUCAGCAUUAACUGGGAAGGGGGAGAGGAGGGUGGAGGGAUGGUUUCAUGGUGGAGAGGUGGGGAAAACCUUGUAUGAUGGUGAGUGAGGGUCUGCAGGUCAGAUUGGAGGUUAUGGGGAAAUCAGUCAACUUUUUAGGCUGAUUUUGGGUGUAGCCUCCCAUGAUUCAGGACAUAAUAGAGGUCAGUGAAUUGGCAAAGUGCUGUCAGGACCUCAGGAUGCCCUCAUAGCAACUUGGGCUGCUCUAUUUCAGUGCCAAUUCAUGGGAGCCAGGGCAGUGUGUGCUCAGGUAGAGGUGGCAGUGGGGCAUGGGCUGCAUUGCUGAGUGAAUGGCAUAUCUGUGACAUUCAUCCUCAGUGCAGACAGCGUGAUUUGUGGCUAAAGGGGAUGGGCGUCUGCUACAGCACUGCUCAGCCUCUCUGCUCCUUUUGCCCUUAUCCUUGGGGCCCCAAAAGGCUCCAUUUGCCAGGAAUGCCCUCCACUCACUGCAGCCAUCUGAGCAAACACGGGAUCUGCACUCAUCACCUCCUGCUUCCCUCCCUUUGACUGUGCUGUCACACAUUGCCACACAGCAGUUAUUGUUCCAGGCACUACGGCACUGCACAUAAUCCAGGUGACUUCCAGAGCGAUUCAGCUCUCCAGUCUUUCACAAACCCAAAUCAGUGUACAAGCCCUGCCCAUUAAGACUCAGAUUCCCACACAUGGCUCAUGGCGUCUGUAGCACUCCCUUCCCUGAACCAGACUGAUGUGCCACAUUACUGCCAUGUUAACCAAAAGCCCGUUUCAGUGACUUCUUGUCCUGUACAUGUUCUCUGCAGAUCCUCAUGGAGACGGUCUGUGGGGUCUGUUCUCUUUUAUUCCCUACAAAUCCCUCUACAAUGGCUGUAAGAAAUUCCCAGGUUAGCCAACUCCUUGUGGGUUUUGUUUGUUCUUUGUACUUAUUCAAGCUGAAGUCUAGAGAGGAAAAGCAGGGCAGAUGUGCUUGAAGGGCAGAGCUAAAAAGAGGACACUUCACGUUAGCAUAUAAAAUCAAAAUGUGAAGCCAUUAGAAAACAUGGCAAACAGGUGACAAAAAAUGUAUAUACUUACUGCCAACACGAGCUCCUGUCUGACAAGCUGAAUUAUAGCAUGCAUUUUUAAUCCAUCUUUGGAGCAGAGAUUCUACCAACCUCUCUCUCUAGAAAUACAUCACACAGGCUUUGGAUAUUGCUGCUGGUUGAUAUUAUCAGUACCCUCUUUUCCCCAAGAGCUUUCUUCAACAGCCAUCACCCUGCACUGCAGGUUGUCCGACAGAAAAUUGGAAUGGUAAUGAAGACUAAGAGAAGAGAGAAAGCAAAAAAGAAUACUUCGUACUCACAUCAUAACAAAUCUUAAGAGAAGGGGAUGGGAGAUAAUGUCACUGCCAGUUCAAAAAGGUGGAUACAAAAAUAUAAUGAAGGUGCCUGUGUUUCAACACGUUGUCCAGAAAGUGCACUAGCAUCUGAAAGUACAAAAAUACUCAGAACAAUCUAGCAUGUUCAGGACGUAAGUGUGUUUCUACCUGUUAAAGGGAAAGGCAAGAGAGAGAAUCCAGUUGCUAUGGAAAUCAGGCCAUCUCCAUGGGAAUUCAGAAAGUAGAGUAUCCUCUUGGCCAGUAAAUCAGGCAGCGAGCAGCCAUUUCUGGACCAUGGCACUGAGCAAUUCUAAGCUGCUCACAGGACAGUUUGUUUCCUCAGCACUGCCGCCCUACCUCAGUAUCAAUGAAAUUGGUGAAAAAAGGGGGUUAUUGGUGAAAUUAAGAAUUUGUUUUGUGGAAUGUAAAGAAGGUUCAGGGGAGAACUGAUAGCAGCCUUUCAGUAGCUAAAGGGGUGGGGAGGGGUAUAAGAAAGAUGGGGACAGAUUCUUUAGCAGGGUCUGUUGUGAUAGGACAAGGGGACAUGGUUUAAUUACCCCUAAACUGAAAGAGGGGAGAUUUAGAUUGGAUGUAAGGAAAAAAGCUUUGUACGUUAAGGCCAGGGAGGCUCUGACACAGGCUGCCCAGAGAGGUGGUGGUGCCCCAUCCCUGGAGACGGCCAAGGUCAGACUGGGUGGGCUCUGAGCUGUGGGUGUCCCUGUUCAGUGCAGGGGCAGUUGGACCAGAUGGCUUUUAAAGGAUCCUUCCAACUCAAACAAUUCCACAAUUCUCCGAUUCUCCUGCAUGUUUCUGUGGAGGUGUGUCGCGUGUCUUUGCUUUAGCUACAGUUAUUGGGAUAUAGAUUUAUGUCACUGGAAAAAAAGUGGAACUCCUGGUUUUGCUUCUCAGCAAAUGUUUUUUGUUCACAUUAGUUGCUGUACAAUAACAAAGGAUCAGGUAGAUGUGCAUGCAGGAAGUAAAAGGAAACAAAGGCCACAUUAAAGAAUAUAAAAAGAAGGAGCUGAGGUACAAACCCACACCUUGUUCAGGACUCCUCUCUUUGUGUUAAUGGACAAAUAUUCAUGGUGCCAUUGGGGGAUCCAAUUCCCUUGCCAUAGGCAGCAGCCUCCAGCUCUGCUGCUCCUGGGUACCAGUGAUUGCUUAGAGUUUAGGGUCCCACAAAGGCCUCCAAGCACAUCUCUUCCAGUCAGUGCCCCACAGCUAGGUUUACUCUGCUGUCACCUGAUGGAUGAGACUGAGAAGCUUGGAGACUUUUGAGAUUCUGAUGCUUUGCUACAGAGCUUUCUUCUGUUUCAUCAUUGCAUUUAAUCACUGGUGGGCAACUGGUCCCUAGAGCCCGGGAGGUUGGGUACUGCUGGAGUUGAAAGCUUUGGCAUGAGCGCCAGUGUGCAGACGAUGGAAAGCAGGUGAUGGAUUUACAGUGCUGAAAUCCUUGCUAUGACUGCUAUGCAAACACCAUAUAUUAUAGCUGUAAGUCCUGCAUAAGCCAAGAAGAUUAAAAAACACCUUGUAGAAAAGAGCUCCGGUCGGAUAUGCCUUUGUUCACGAGGACAACUAUGCAGUGGUACUAAUGCAUGGAUGUCAUUUAGUGCUGGGGGAGUUAAUGGGGCUUUAUUUGAAUAUAUCUCAGCUGCGUGAGUAAGGCUCACAGGCAGAAGUGUCUGUCUGGUGUACGUGUGUUGGAGGACACUGUCUGACAUUGAUGGAAAGCUGCUUGAUAGAGUUUCAUCUUUCAAUUCAUUUAGAUUUUUAAAGCUCAGGUUAAGUUGCCCAACUUAAUUUGCAAUCAUUUAAAGUAGGAGUUAAGUGAAGGUCACAGGCUGCUCUAAAUUAGAGGGAAACCGCUGUAGCACUGGCAUGCUUUGACCUUUUCAGUGUUUUCUGACUCUGCUGACCAGCUGAGCUCUUUAUAGCACUGUUAACCUGUGAGAAAUGUGUGAAGUGGUCAUUUCCCACAGUAAAGCAGGAAAUUUUGAAAGGUUAAAGUAGCAGUGAAUAUUCCUGGCAAGAGCAGGUACGGAAUCCCUUGGAACUGAUGAUCUGUGUGUACGUGUAUCUUCCUGCUCUGCAGUGUUUGUGUUAGAAGGGAAGUGAAGAGGAUGCAAAGCAGGGCUGUAGGCAGCUCACCCGAGCUCUGCCUGCAGGUUAUCCCAGAAAUCAGCAUGGUGCAGAGGGUGCUCUCAAACCCACAGGAAUCCGUGCUGUCUCAGAGCUAUAAAAAAAUACUACUACAAAAACUCCAGAAGUAACAUCAAACUCAGGACGUGGGGCUUUCCUAGAUCCCAUAUGCAGAACUUGGGGAAAAGACAGAUAUCAGUGUUCCCCCAUCCCUGGGGCUGUUCAAGGCCAGGUUGGAUGUGGCCCUGGGCAGCCUCAUCUGGUGAGUGGCAACUAGCCCACAGCACGAGCUUGGUCCUUUCCAAUCUAAGCCAUUCUAUGAUUCUGUGACGUACCUGGAGUUAACAGCAGUGAGCCCAGACAGUGUAGUAGAUGGGAUGCGCUAUCACAGUGCUCGAAGAGUAAAAUCCCUAUGCUCCAUGCCCCAUCUUUUUUAUGCACUUGUUUUCUUCCUUCCUGGUGUUUACGAUCCAGCUGCACGUUCUGCAGCUCUCUCUCUUCUGCCUUUAAUGAGGUAAAGUGGAGAAGUCGUAAAACCAGGCCGCCAUCGGUGUAGCAUCCUGGGGCUGCCAUAACGAGAGGCUUCUGGUCCUCACGAUACAACACCUUGGUGGCAAUGUCUAGUCCCACCUUCUUUGUGCAAAGGGCCAACAUAGGACAGCCCCUCUCCUCCAUUUCCUCCUGAUCGCUGGGGUGCAAGGCAGCUGUCAGAUGUUCAUCUGGAUUUUGUGGAUGUCACAGAUAGCCAGAGUGGGGAAAGAAGGAGGCAGUUUGCUCUGAGAAACAAGAGGGGGUUUACAUCAUUCCAGUACACUCUAAAUAUGCAGUAAGGGUCAAAAGUCUCUUCUGUUGCUCUAGGACUCCUGACUGCUGCAGGCUAAGCCACCAACUCUGAGAUCUGUGUAAGAGGGCAGAAGGGAAUAGCUCAUUGUUAAACAUCCACUUUGUCCAAUGCAUUGGUCAGGGGCUGACAGUUUCCAUUCUGGAGCUCUCAGAAAAUAAAGCGGCUCCUGAGCAUCCCUGCAAGGUGUUGUGGGUCACGCCAGCCACCUCCAUCCCCACACAGCUUAGAAGAGCACAGAAAUGCCAUUUGGCUUUCCAGACCACCUUCCAGCACGGCAGGGAAAGGGCUGGCGUUACACAUGCUGAUAGCGAUAGUACAUGAUAUGCAGUCAGCAGUUUGUUGCAAUCAGAGCUUCUGCUGAGCACGUCGAAAGCCUGCCCCUUUCCUGUUAAUUGAAUGUAAGCCCUUUGGUACUUCUCUCCCUUUGAUCUCUCUCAGAAUGAGACGUAAGGCUAUUAAGGCAGAGGAACCAGCGAGCACAAUGCUGGCAGUAAUCUGUGUCAGGAUGAAGGGAUGUUACGCAAGAGACCAGGAAUGAGAUGCAGUGUGAUUUUUUCUCCCUCCUCCCCCCAUGUUUUCUCAUCUAAUCCCAAGGGGUUCUUUGUAAUAUUCGCCGGAUGGCAACUACAAACACUGGUGGACACAAGGAGAAAAAACGUCAUGCAACAAACAUGUAAAAAAGCUGGUUUAGCACUGAAACACUGCAUCUCUCCAGCAAAACCUGCCUGCUUGCAGGAGAUACAAAUGACUCCUGGAAUCAAAUGCAUGUUACUGUGUUCAGCAUGCAGCAUUACUGCAGGAUUUAAACACGGCAAAGAGGGAAUUGCUGAUCACACUGAAACCAAAAUGAGAAUAAAUGCAUAAUAAGAAAAAAUAGAUUAGAAGAUAAUUACUUCAUUUUGUACCUGGAGCAAUUACUGUUUGGAUUAGAGAUGACUUGUAGGUGAAAUAGCUAGGUCUGCAAUAGAAGCUGUAGACACAAUGUUAAUAGUUAAAAUGUCAGUGCUAAGCUUCAUUAAAGGAGAAACCCAGCUCUAAACUUGGUUCGGUAUUUUCUUCCAUGAUUGCCACAGUGAGCACUUAUGUAACACGCUGCAUAUUUCAAAGCAAGUUAUAAAAUUAGCUAGGAACUGCACGUAAUGCCUCUUUGCAGAGCUGGAGGUGAGCAUGCAGCACCUUCCAGGUGGUGCUCGGAAUACCGUGAUAUCCCCUGCUUCUCAUUUAGGGAUCUAAAAUUACAAAGCCAAAGAAUCUGAUGCUGGGACCUAUAAAAAUGCCUGUUUUUCAUCCGAGAGGACAUGCAUAGGAGAGAGAGACACAGAGAGAGGACACAGUUAUUAUUUCAUUGCUGCAGUUCACUGGGAUUUUUUCUGAACACCAUUCCUAUGAACCUGGAUGGAGAAAGGCUGAAGGAGAAGAAAACCCGAAACACUUCAGCCUGCUUUUAUUUUCCGGUUAAAAAUGAAAGAAGUUAUGUAGAGCAGUUGAAGUAAACACCUGAAUCUUAAAAGACUGAAAAGGCGUUUGUAGCCGCUGACCAGAGCCGAAGAUAGAAGGAAUAAAACUGGCAAUUGAUACGUGCUGCAAAUCCUCAUGCCGAGUACAAACCUGACCUGUAUUUCAGCAGCUGCAGGCACCUUUCUGAUAUCUUCCCAGCAGUGCUGGGAGGUGCUCAGCCCAACAGCAAAGCCACGCACGCUGCAAGUCCCCAGCCUCCCUUUAGGGGACAGAGCUUCCCAAUGGCUGCUUUGAUUGUCUGUUUUCAAAAUACAAUCACAUGUGGAUAUUAAAAAUAGCACCACGCUGACUUGCUUCCUGUGAAAACAGGUUCCAGUGCUAGGAAACUAAACAUAAUUUUAAACGUUAUCAUCCGACUAAUCGUGUUGCUAUUCCAUUUCAGUCCAUAUAAUUUCUCCGGUAUGAACCUGGGUCACUUUUGCAUAUGUCCAAUCUAUUUUAUAUAUAUACGUUCACUCUAUUUGCACACUCAGAUGGGAGACAUAUGCCUCUUCUCAUUUGGGCAGGCCAUAGUGUUAUUAAAAUGGAAAUGUGCGGGCUUUGGGAUCCAACUGCAACAUAUGUUUAAAAAUGAAAGAUGAUUCUUUAGUUGUAACUACCAGAAGAACUCGGAGCUUUUGACUCCGUGUAUAAUUACCACGAGACCUUAACAGCUUAAUUCACCAGGUAAUUACAUGGUUAUUUUUUGUUCUAUAAAAGGUAAAGAGGUAACAUUUAAUUUACAAGGUGCUGCAUAAUCCUGUAAUUACUUGGUAAUUUCCGUGUCG
ensembl:lncRNA